CUGCAGUCAAGGGUUUUACCAGCCAGGUUCCUGGCUAAAUUCCAGCUNUUAGCUGGGUUUAGCCAAAGCCUGGCUGUAAAGAAAACCAG
rnacentral:pre_miRNA from 1 species